UGUAGCUCAGUGGUAGAGCACUUGCCUAGCAUGCACAAGAACCUGGGUUCAAUCCCUAGUA
rnacentral:tRNA from 1 species